GAGACGUAGCUAGCUACGAUAACCGGUGCGAAUCGCAAGAUACGCCGAGCACUUGAACUUCCAACGCACAUUGCGGCUUUCAGUUUAUUCUGAAGUCACAUCUGUCUGAGA
rnacentral:rRNA from 1 species